AAAAAAUAAGAAGAGGGUGUUCAUUCGAAUUCUAAUUUCAAAAGUAGAAGCGAUUCUAUUUCACGCAACGGACACAAUCUCCACCAACGCAAACGAAAACACUCCAAAACCCUUCAACUCCGUUAGUGAUGGAGGGUGCUUUUGCAAGCGCUUCAGCGAUUACAGACCAAAGACAGAAGAUAGAGCAGUAUAAACAAAUUCUCUCUGCUGUCAUUUCAUCAAAUGACAUUCUUCAUGCUAGGAAAUUCAUCGAUCACAUGUUAUCGGAUGAUGUUCCUUUAGUAGUGUCGCGUCAGCUUCUACAGAGUUUUGCUGAAGAGUUGGGAAGGUUGGCACCUGAGACACAGAAAGAGAUUGCUCAUUACAUACUUGCUCAGAUUCAGCCUCGAGUUGUGUCGUUUGAAGAACAGGUUUUGGUUAUUAGAGAGAAAUUGGCCGAGCUUUAUGAAUCUGAGGAGCAAUGGUCAAAAGCUGCCCAGAUGCUCAGUGGUAUUGACCUAGAUUCAGGAAUGAGGGUAAUUGAUGAUACAUUCAGGUUAUCAAAGUGUGUUCAAAUUGCUUGUUUAUACCUUGAGGAUGACGAUGCUGUCAAUGAUGAAGCUUUCAUUAAUAAAGCAUCAUUCUUGGUUAGCAAUAGCCAGCAUGAAGUAUUGAAUUUGAAGUACAAGGUUUGCUAUGCUAGGAUCUUAGAUCUGAAGAGGAAGUUCUUGGAAGCUGCCUUGCGAUAUUAUGACAUAUCUCAAAUUGAGAAAAGGCAAAUAGGGGAUGACAGACAUGGUGUUCCAAUUAAAACAACUGUAUCCGUGACUGUUUUGGAAGAGGCACUCAAUGGUUCAGUUACAAUUCGCCAACUUCCAUUGGGAUAGUUUGUAUCUAAAAGGGUUGAGAAGCAAUGUGCACUUUCCUGUUUAGCUACAACCACGGUUACAAUCGCAGAAGCGGAAGCAAGAGCUACAAAAGUAAAUUCAAGCAGACAUGGUGUUCCAAUUAAAACAACUGUAUCUGUGACUGUUUUGGAAGAGGCACUCAAUGGUUCAGUUACAAUUCGCCAACUUCCAUUGGGAUAGUUUGUAUCUAAAAGGGUUGAAAAGCAAUGUGCACUUUCCUGUUUAGCUACAACCACGGUUACAAUCGCAGAAGCGGAAGCAAGAGCUACAAAAGUAAAUUCAAGCAGACAUGGUGUUCCAAUUAAAACAACUGUAUCUGUGACUGUUUUGGAAGAGGCACUCAAUGGUUCAGUUACAAUUCGCCAACUUCCAUUGGGAUAGUUUGUAUCUAAAAGGGUUGACAAGCAAUGUGCACUUUCCUGUUUAGCUACAACCACGGUUACAAUCGCAGAAGCGGAAGCAAGAGCUACAAAAGUAAAUUCAAGCAGACAUGGUGUUCCAAUUAAAACAACUGUAUCUGUGACUGUUUUGGAAGAGGCACUCAAUGGUUCAGUUACAAUUCGCCAACUUCCAUUGGGAUAGUUUGUAUCUAAAAGGGUUGAAAAGCAAUGUGCACUUUCCUGUUUAGCUACAACCACGGUUACAAUCGCAGAAGCGGAAGCAAGAGCUACAAAAGUAAAUUCAAGCAGACAUGGUGUUCCAAUUAAAACAACUGUAUCCGUGACUGUUUUGGAAGAGGCACUCAAUGGUUCAGUUACAAUUCGCCAACUUACAUUGGGAUAGUUUGUAUCUAAAAGGGUUGAGAAGCAAUGUGCACUUUCCUGUUUAGCUACAACCACGGUUACAAUCGCAGAAGCGGAAGCAAGAGCUACAAAAGUAAAUUCAAGGUUCAAUUUUAAUUUUCUGCCAUUUAUAUUAAUAAAAAGGUUGGAUGCUAGUUAUGUUCAACUUGCUAUUGUCAAGAUUUUUGUUUUGCUCUAUGUAGAAUGACUUUUUAGAAAUUAUUUUUGAAAUAUAUGGUCUAACUGAAUCCAAAUUUUAAAAGUA